ACACUUUUGAGGGGAAGCUCACAGCCUCAAGGCACUGCAGGGGGAAGCUCAGAGCCACAGACAUCCUUGAGGUCCUCGUAGCAGAGGAAGAGUACGGGGUGCGCCACCCGCACCUGCCGCCCGCCCCCCACGCGCUCGCGCCACAAACCCCAGGCCACUGCAGGGACAGGAGAGGCCUGGGCAGGGCUGAGAGGAGCAACAGGUGGUGACUCCACCCCUUCUGCCCUGGCAGAAACCCGGGUUCUCCAACCAGCAGUACGCUGACCAGCUCAGUGUGCAGGAGAUGACCACCUAGUACUUGCACUGCAACUUCAACCUGCCCUACCAGGAUGCUCGUAAGUGCCUGGGGUGCUUCGGUCUUAAGAGCCAUGCCCACAUCCUCCAGAUCUGCAAAUUGUCAGGGGGGCAGAAAGCCUGUGUGGUGCUUGCCGAGCUGGCCUCCAAGGAACCUGGUGUCGUCAUCCUGUAUGAAAAUGGGCUCUGCUUUGCCUUCCACCUGGCUCAUGCUUUGCCUCCUCCCUCCUCUUCACCGUGGUCUUCAUCAUCAGCCACAACACAUGAGUGAUCAUGGAGACCAGCUGCCAGCUGUGGGGGUGGCGGAGCGGUCCAUCAACCAGAUCAACAGCGACUUCGACUAC